rnacentral:rRNA from 1 species
UAGGGAAUUUUGCGCAAUGGGGGAAACCCUGACGCAGCAACACCGCGUGAAUGUUAAGCCCUUCGGGGUGUAAAGUUCUGUCAGUAGGGACGAAAUUUGACUGUACCUACAAAGGAAGCACCGGCUAACUCCGUGCCAGCAGCCGCGGUAAUACGGGGGGUGCAAGCGUUGUCCGGAAUCAUUGGGCGUAAAGCGUUCGUAGGCGGUAUAUCAAGUCUGGUGUUAAAGCCCGGGGCUCAACUCCGGUUCGGCACUGGAUACUGGUAAACUAGAAUGCGGUAGAGGUAAGGGGAAUUCCUGGUGUAGCGGUGAAAUGCGUAGAUAUUAGGAGGAACACCAGUGGCGAAGGCGGCUUACUGGACGAUCACUGACGUUGAGGCUCGAAAGCGUGGGGAGCAAACA